UACGUAGGGGGCAAGCGUUGUCCGGAUUUAUUGGGCGUAAAGAGCGUGUAGGCGGCUUUGCAAGUCCGUUGUGAAAACUCGAGGCUCAACCUCGAGACGCCGGUGGAAACUGCAAAGCUAGAGUCCGGAAGAGGAGAGUGGAAUUCCGUGGUGUAGCGGUGAAAUGCGCAGAUAUCAGGAAGAACACCCGUGGCGAAGGCGGCUCUCUGGGACGGUACUGACGCUGAGACGCGAAAGCGUGGGGAGCGAACAGG
rnacentral:rRNA from 1 species